CAGCCGCCGCGGUAACACAGAGGGUGCGAGCGUUAAUCGGAUUUACUGGGCGUAAAGCGUGCGUAGGCGGCUAAUUGAGUCGGAUGUGAAAUCCCCGAGCUUAACUUGGGAAUUGCAUUCGAUACUGGUUAGCUAGAGUGUGGGAGAGGAUGGUAGAAUUCCAGGUGUAGCGGUGAAAUGCGUAGAGAUCUGGAGGAAUACCGAUGGCGAAGGCAGCCAUCUGGCCUAACACUGACGCUGAGGUACGAAAGCAUGGGGAGCAAACAGGAUUAGAUACCCGUGUAGUCCCUGUCUCUUAUAC
rnacentral:rRNA from 1 species